rnacentral:lncRNA from 1 species
CUGAGAGUCACUUGCUGUAGAAGCAGUACUGUUGGAGUAGGAGAGUACAGGCUUGUUCUUAAAACUGGUUUGAGGCCUAGCAAGGUGGCCCAGUGGGGAAAGGUGCGUGCCAUGUAAGUUGGCAGUCUGAGUUCAGCCUCUGGGAGCCAUGUGAGGAGAGAGCUGAUACACAGCAGUUGCAUGUGCUUCCCACUAAUAAAUGACAUGAAGGCUUUAAAAAAUAUGAUUUGGUUUUCACUAUAAUAUAGACCUUGAGUGGUAAAAUGAAAACUCAUCGUAAUAUCUUACUUUUAUUUAACUUUAUUUAUUUGUUUUUUUCAAGACAGGGUUUCUCUGUGUAGCUCUGGCUGUCCUAGAACUCACUAUGUAGACCAAACAGGCCUUGAGCUCAGAGAUCUGCCUGCCUCUGCCUCCCGAGUGCUGAGAUUAAAGGUUUUCGCCACCACUCCAGCACCCUUAAAAAAAAAUUAAGGAGUUUGUUUUCAGGUAUUAAAAUUCAUCAUUUAAGUGUUGAGUUUGACAGAUCUCAGCAGUAAUACACAAGCUAGGUAGAGUAUUCUAUCACCGCAGACCCUCCUCCUGUCCUCCUGGAUCUUUUAGGUUUUGCAAGGGGAAAUUGGAAAGUAAGGAAAUGACUGAGUUUGGGGGCAGUUCUUAGUUUAAAGUCCUCGCUACAGUCUGUCCUGAGGUGUUCGGUAGGAGAAGACAGCUGUCUCCUCUCCAGAGUACAGCAAUGUAAAAGCUGCUUAGACGUCAGCAGCCAGCUCUUGGGCCAUUUCCUUUUUUUCUGUCAUCUCGAGGCGGGCCACUGGGGAGAGUGAUUUUUACCUUUAGUGUUUUGGUGUCACAGAAGGUUUAUUUGAGACAAGGUUUUGCAGUACAGCCUAGGCUGUAAACACUUGUAAUUCUGCUUCAGUGUUGUUAGUGCUGGGGCUGCAGAUGUGUGUUACCCCAAAACGGCUUCUAUAGAAGUUACUGUAAGUCUUUCUCUAUGUACUCUUGGUUACAGAAGUCUUAAGAAUCAUUUGGGAAUAACAUGGCAACUAAGUCUGCCCCAUAGUAGUGAUUGCCUUGAGCAACGUCCUGAAACACAACUUCAAGGAUGACCUUGACUCUGAGCAUGGUGUGUGCUUCUCUUGGUUUCUGAUCAUCAUGCUGUCUUGAUUCUAGCCAACCCCAUCGUGCCCUGUAAUGAAACCCGGUGGAGCCAGAAGUGGCAGUCAUCACGUCCCCUGAAAAGAGCCAGUCUCUCCCUGGGCUCUGGAUUCUGGCAUGCAACAGGAAGACAUUCAAGUCGGCGAUUGCUGAGAGCCAUUCCUCGCCAGGUCGCCCAGACACUGCAGGCAGAUGUGCUGUGGCAGAUGGGAUACACAGGUAUGUGCUACAGACAAGGAACUUUGUAGACCAGGGACAGGGACAGCAUUCAGGGAGACCUUCUGCUAGGUUGCCCUGCCACAGGUCUGUCACCAUAUACAUCUGUCCUUCCUAUCAUGUGUGGAACUGGGUACAGUUAACUGUCCCUACAUUUACCUCUUAAGCCCAGCAUCUGUUUCUGUGACUUUUAUUUACUUGUAAAAAAUUGUGUGUGUACAGAAUGUGUGUGUGCAUGUGUAUGUAUAGGAUUGCACCUGUGUAUGUGUGUAUACUUGAGUACAUGUAUGCAUGUGAACAUGAGUGUGUGUAUGAAUACGAGGGGAAGAGAGAAAGAGAGAAAAUGUAUGAGUGAAUGUGUAUGCUAAGGUCAGAGGAUGACUGGUAGGCAUCUCGUAUGGGACUUGGGAAUGGAAUGCAGGAUGUGGGGUUUGAACUUUGAACUUUGCUGUGGCUCCCUCAAAGGAAUGGUGCUUUAUGAGUAGAAAUCAAGAAAGAUUAUUUCUCCCAAUGUGAUUGUUGCCUUCUCUUUUUGGGAUAAGGUGCUAAUGUCAGAGUUGCUGUUUUUGAUACUGGGCUCAGUGAGAAGCAUCCGCAUUUUAAGAAUGUGAAGGAGAGAACCAACUGGACCAAUGAGCGGACCCUGGAUGAUGGUAGGUCCCAGUCAGAUAGGACAAGGCUCUUGGUCUGCAGGUCAGUGCUUGUGAGCUAGCCUCUGAUUGCACAGACAAGCCCAGGUCCUUAGAAGCUCACAGAUGUCGCAGAUGAUGUGGGGAAGUAGAGGCUGGGAGAGAAGGUGGUACCUGCUGAGAAGGGUUACCUGUGGAGUUAACCACAAAAGAGACAGGAGCAGUGGUGUUGGGAGUAUGGGGGCGGGGGGGGGGGGUGAGGGGUGGGGGAGGACUAGAGCAGAAGCUGCUGAGGUCUUUCUAAGAUCAGGCGUGUGUGGUCAUUGGUUUUGAGUGCUGUACCUUGUUGUCUGUCCUCAGCUGUCUUCAUGGGACUUUUUUUUUGUGUGUGUGUGUGGCUUCAGGGCUAGGCCAUGGCACAUUCGUUGCAGGUGUGAUUGCCAGCAUGAGGG